rnacentral:rRNA from 1 species
UACGUAGGGGGCAAGCGUUGUCCGGAAUCAUUGGGCGUAAAGCGCGCGUAGGCGGCCCGGUAAGUCCGCUGUGAAAGUCCAGGGCUCAACCCUGGGAUGCCGGUGGAUACUGUCGGGCUCGAGUCCGGAAGAGGCGAGUGGAAUCCUGGUGUAGCGGUGAAAUGCGCAGAUAUCAGGAGGAACACCGAUGGCGAAGGCAGGUC